CAGGCUACUGUCUCUAAAUGGUCACCGGCCAUUUGCCAAGAUUGGAGAAGCAACUACCUGAAAAAUCAUUAUGGGUAAUCUUUCCUUUGGCAAACCCAAGAAUCUUUGGGUGCUCACUCCUUCAGAAGGUUGGGUGGUCUGGUUCCAAGAGCCUGGCAGAGCACGAACUGUUCCUCUACUUUCACUUUUACCUUCAUGUAUUUCCCAUUUGAAAUGGAGAAAAUGUGAGUACAUUAAUAAGUUAUUUUCCAUUACCAAGCUUUUAAAAAUUUGUUUAAAUUCCGUUCUUGGCAUGUAAGCUCCUUGGCAUGUAGAAAUUGUUCUAUACUCCUAUAGAGUUGAAUUCAUUAUAUUGAUAAAGUACUUCAAUAACAGCUUGGUGAAAAUUUUUUGGUUCUGAAUUACUGGUGAAUAAAAACUCAAUGAAAGGUUAAAUGGAAAGCCCCAGUGUUAAAAAAGUGAAUUUCUCUUGCUGUGAUUCAACUGUUUGCUUUAGAAGCACUUAAAGUUCCUGCAGAAUCUCUUGCUAUCUCUUUUGACCAAAUCUUACUUGCUUCUUCCAUGUCAGAGGUUGAUUUAACCAACAGAAUUGGAGUAAAAUGGCAUGGUACAAGUUAGUACAGACUACAUGACUGUAAGUUCUUUUGUGAUGGCAAAUGGGUAGAAUAUAUAUUAAGUUUUCUUUCUUUUUCAAACAUAAAGAAUACAAAGUACUCUGAAUAUUUGAAUACAAAUCAAGAUACUUAUACACCUCAAUCUGCAAAGUUUCCCUUCUUGUCAACCCUUUCACCCCUCCCCAACAAUGCACCCAUGCAUCCUCCCUUCUGAUGUUUGGUUCUUGGAAGUAGACCAAAAACAGAAGCUGAAUGGAGACUGUUUCCUCUACACUCUUCCACUCUAUGUUCUUUUGAAAUUUGUAUUAUAGUUCAAUAAAUUUAAGGUGAGAAAAGGUAUUAUGGCCUUGUAUAUUGCUCAAGAGAACAGGUAGAGAAAUUUUAUACUAUAGAACAGUAUUGGAUUAUAUAGUUCUUGAUCCUGUGUAUAAUACUGUAUCUUUCAAUCAUUAUAGUAAGCAUGGGAAUGGAAUUUUCUGAAGAAGAAAAUGUUUAUUUAAUAUAUGAGGAAAUUGAAUAUUACACUGGUAAAGCAGCUUCUCCAAGGGCACAGAGCAUAGGGAAGGAAGGUGGUAAUUGCUGCUCAUUUGAGCCCCACACCAUAGAUGCAAAGGGGAAGAACUGUUGUAGGAAAAAAGCUGUUGUAAUGAGGUCUUCACUGUCAUUAGAAAUGAAACCUUUUGUGGAAGGUCCCAAGAUUAAUGUAUUCUUUGACAUUUUGCUUUCUGGAGAAAGGGUGUUUGGUCUGUAUGGUUCAAUUGAAAUAAAAUAAUGUUAUUAAUCAUUUUGGUGGUUUUUAAUUACAUUAAAUAGAUUUGAGAUGCACAAAAAGAACACACUCCCUGCUAGUCAUGCACUCCUCAGAUAUUUGUGAUGGCUGAGGUUGGGCAGGGAGAACCCAGGUUCUCUGAAUCGAUCUGGGUCUGUCAUGUAAGUGUCAGGAAUCCAGCUACUUGAGCUCUCAUCUGAUGCUUCUUUGGGUUUGCAUUUGCAGGAAGCUGGAAUUAGGAGCAGGACCUAGGUGUCAAACUCAGGAGUUCCGACAUGGGAUGAAGGGCAUCUUAACUGCUAGACUGAACACCCAAAGUAGCAUUCUUAAUUUGAAAUACAACCUUUGUUCAAUCAAGUAAUCAUUUUUUUUUUCAACUGCGAGCAUACUACUGAUUCCAAACCUAUGAGUCUGCUUGCUGAUGACUGUGCUCAGAUGCUGUCUGUCAUCUCAGAGUCAGGAAAGUAGGUUGCUCAACAGAGUGGUUAAAUAAUUCCGUCACUAACUGUAUGGUUGAGCAACCAUUUCCUUAUCAGUGUG